CAUGAGCUUCACCAUUCCUCCACCUUCUGCACCAACUACCGGUCCCUGGGCUCCGUCCAGCCGCCCAGCUACCGCGCCCGACCGCUAACCAGCGCGGCCAGCUUCUAGGCAAGCGCCGGGGGCUCUGGUUCCCGGAUCUCCGUGUUCCGCUCCAACAGCUUCCUGGGUGGCUUGGGGUCCGGGAGUCUGGCGGCAGGGAUGGCCGGGGUCUGGCAGGAAUGGGAGGCAUCCAGAACUAAAAGGAGACCAUGCAAAGCCUGAGCGACAGCCUGGCCUCCUACCUGGAAAGAGUGAGGAUCCUGGAGGCGGAGAACCGGAAGCUGGAGAGCAAAAUCCGGGAGCACCUGUAGAAGAAGGGACCCCAGGUCAGAGACUGGGGCUUUUACUUCAAGACCAUCGAGGACCUGAGAGCUCAGAUAUUCGCAAAUACUGUGGAAAAUGCCCGCAUCGUUCUGUAGAUCGACAAUGCCCGUCUUGCUGCUGAUGACUUUAGAGUCAAGUAUGAGACAGAGCUGGCCAUGCGCCAGUCUGUGGAGUGCGACAUCCAUGG
rnacentral:lncRNA from 1 species